CGCUGACGGUUUCACAACUGCCGCCCGGCUACGCGGGAGGCCCGGUGCUGCCCACUGCGCGUGCUCCAGGGGUCGGCCUCGCUGCGGACGCGCGCAGGGAGGUGUGACCUGCCGAGCUGGGUGAAGGCAGUGUGGAGGGCGGACUGGAAGCAGUUUGAAGAUGGCGAGAGGCCCAGCUGGGCACCAUGAUGGCUUACACUUCGAUAGUGACCGUGCGUGGAGAGCAAGAAGUGAAUUCCUCAUGUUUGGCCUUUUUGGAGAGAACUUUGGCAGUCUCGACUACAAAUGGACAAAUACCCUCAGAAUCAAUAAAUCUACUUGAAUGUCGUGGUUCAUUAACAUCAGACUGGUUACAUGAAUACACAAGGAUGACUCGUGAAACGCUAUGCAGCAGUUAAAAAGAAAGAAGUAGAGCCAAAUGUAUUGUCAUAGAAAGAUUUCCAAGACAUUAGGUGGAAAAAGCAAGUUGCUGGAUAAUACGUACACUUUUACCCCAUUUCUGUAAAAACUAAAUAAAACAAUACAUUUCUAUAUGUAAAUGUA